GCCUGGGUGGCUCAGUUGGUUAAAUGUCUGACUUCAGCUCAGGUCAUGAUCUCGCAUUUGUGGGUUCGAGCCCCACAUCGGGCU
rnacentral:tRNA from 1 species